rnacentral:rRNA from 1 species
UGGGGAAUAUUGCACAAUGGGCGCAAGCCUGAUGCAGCCAUGCCGCGUGUGUGAAGAAGGCCUUCGGGUUGUAAAGCACUUUCAGCGGGGAGGAAGGCGGUGAGGUUAAUAACCUCACCGAUUGACGUUACCCGCAGAAGAAGCACCGGCUAACUCCGUGCCAGCAGCCGCGGUAAUACGGAGGGUGCAAGCGUUAAUCGGAAUUACUGGGCGUAAAGCGCACGCAGGCGGUCUGUCAAGUCGGAUGUGAAAUCCCCGGGCUCAACCUGGGAACUGCAUUCGAAACUGGCAGGCUAGAGUCUUGUAGAGGGGGGUAGAAUUCCAGGUGUAGCGGUGAAAUGCGUAGAGAUCUGGAGGAAUACCAGUGGCGAAGGCGGCCCCCUGGACAAAGACUGACGCUCAGGUGCGAAAGAGUGGGGAGCAAACAGG